rnacentral:rRNA from 1 species
GAGUUUGAUCAUGGCUCAGGACGAACGCUGGCGGCGUGCCUAACACAUGCAAGUCGUGCGAGAAAGGUCCUUCGGGACCGAGUACAGCGGCGGACGGGUGAGUAACACGUGAGCGACCUACCCCGAGGCGGGGGACAACCCAGGGAAACCUGAGCUAAUACCGCAUACAGCGCCGGCUUCGAAGCCGAGCGUGAAAGCUGGCCUCUACUUGUAAGCUAGCGCCUCUGGAUGGGCUCGCGGCCUAUCAGCUAGUUGGUGGGGUAACGGCCUACCAAGGCGAUGACGGGUAGCUGGCGUGAGAGCGCGACCAGCCACACUGGGACUGAGACACGGCCCAGACUCCUACGGGAGGCAGCAGUGGGGAAUAUUGCGCAAUGGGCGAAAGCCUGACGCAGCGACGCCGCGUGGGGGAGGAAGGCCUCAGGGUUGUAAACCCCUGUCAGGUGGGACGAACCCCGAUACGUCGAACAGGCGUAUCGAUUGACGGUACCACCAGAGGAAGCUCCGGCUAACUCCGUGCCAGCAGCCGCGGUAAUACGGAGG